rnacentral:rRNA from 1 species
GAUGAACGCUGACAGAAUGCUUAACACAUGCAAGUCGAUGGGGAAGUGGUGCUUGCACCAUGGCAACCAUGGCGGACGGGUGAGUAACGCGUAAGGGACUUACCUGCAGGACUGGGAUAACAGGGGGAAACUCCUGACAAGACCGGAUAAUGUCAUGGAGCUGCAUGGCUUUAUGAUGAAAGGAGACGCCUGCGGAGAGCCUUGCGUCCUAUUAGCUAGUUGGUGAGGUAAUGGCUCACCAAGGCGAAGAUAGGUAGCCGGCCUGAGAGGGUGGACGGCCACAAGGGGACUGAGAUACGGCCGUUACUCCUACGGGAGGCAGCAGGGGGGAAUAUUGGACAAUGGGGGCAACCCUGAUCCAGCAAUUCUGUGUGCACGAAGAAGGUUUUCGGAGUGUAAAGUGCUUUCAGCAGGGAAGAAGUAAGUGACGGUACCUGCAGAAGAAGCGACGGCUAAAUACGUG